UCAGUUUCGGAGCAUGGGGCUGCACAAUGGCAGAGCAACUUUCCCCUGGAAAGGCGACGGAUCAGGUGUGCACCUUCCUGUUCAAAAAGCCUGGGCGAAAGGGGCCUGUAGGCUGCAGGAAGCGCCCAAUCUGCGACCUAGAGCCCGGAGAUAGCAGCAGCAGUGGCAGCAAUGAAGGCAACACUGUGGUUCGCUGCAAAAAGAAGCGGGCGACCCACAAUCCGAUGAUACAGAAGACUGGUGGCAGUGGUAAACAGAAGGUGGUUUAUUGUGAAUUGAGUAGCGAGGAGGAGGAGGAGGGGGAUGGGAAGGGGAAUGAGGCUGAGACUCUCCAUGUGGUCUACAAGUCCACCACUCGGCGAAACCCGUGGGGCCAUAGGAUAUGGGGGCGAGCUAGACACAGAAAAGGAACAUGACUCACAAGCCAUCUUUGAGCGCAGCCAGAAGAUUCAGGAGGAGCUGAGAGGCAAGGAAGCUGACAAGACCUAUCGGGGAAUCAAUAACUAUCAGAAAUACAUGAAACCCAAGGAUACAGCUAUGGGCAAUGCUUCCUCCGGAAUGGUGCGGAAGGGCCCCAUCCGAGCUCCCGAGCAUCUACGUGCCACCGUGCGCUGGGAUUACCAGCCCGACAUUUGUAAGGACUAUAAGGAGACUGGCUUUUUCGGCUUCGGAGACAGCUGCAAAUUCCUCCAUGACCGAUCAGAUUACAAGCAUGGGUGGCAGAUCGAACGUGAGCUUGAUGAGGGUCGCUAUGGUGUCUAUGAAGAUGAAAAUUAUGAAGUGGGAAGCGAUAGUGAGGAAAUACCAUUCAAGUGUUUCAUCUGUCACCAGUCCUUCCAAAACCCAGUCAUCACCAAGUACAGGCAUUAUUUCUUCGAGAGCUGUGCACUGCAGCAUUUCUGCACGACCCCGCGCUGCUAUGUCUGUGACCAGCAGACCAAUGGCGUCUUCAAUCCAGCGAAAGCAUUGAUUGCUAAACUGGAUAAGCAUCAGGAUGCAGAAGAGGAUGGGAACUUGCCAGAGGAAAAGGCAGGUGAUGAAGUAGGUUCCUGGAUAGAUGGCUUGUGAAAGCAUCAAGAUGUCUUGCAGAAAUCAUUAAGCAGAAAGGACCACCUGGCGUUAAGAAGACCCUGGACAGGAUGCCACCACGAAC